CGCACUGCUGCAAGUCCUUGGGUGACAGUCUCUGGCAUGUCACCCUGGUGUGGUGUCACAGACUCACAGCUGGAGAGCCCAGCAGACUGACAGACAACUGGAACCUUGGGAGCCAAAGGAGACUGUGGAGCGGAUGUGAGCAGAUGGCCACUGAGGAUAGCUGACCGGGUGGGCUGGAACACAGGCCAGGAACUGCCACCUGAGGAUUGUGCUUGGGAUGUCCAGAUGAUGCGUGAGCAGCCACUUAGGGAGCCUUGUUCUGUUGAAAAUCAUAAAGUUGAAAA